UGAGUACAAGAUGCUACGGCAUUGAAGCAGUCUGUGUCAUACUUCCAAGAAAAGCUUGCAAUGUCAUAAACAAAUAAUGCCUGUACCAUAACCGACACAGGUGGGUAGGUAGAGUAUACUAAGGGGCGCGAGAUAACUCUCUCUAAGGAACUCGGCAAAAUGACUCCGUAACUUCGGGAGAAGGAGUACCUUAUUUUAUAAGGUUGCAAUAACAAGGUCCAAGCAACUGUUUACCAAAAACACAGGUCUCCGCUAAGUCGUAAGACGAUGUAUGGGGGCUGACGCCUGCCCAGUGCCAGAAGGUUAAAGAAGUUGGUUAGCAUUAGCGAAGCUGAUAACUGAAGCCCUGGUGAACGGCGGCCGUAACAAUAACGGUCCUAAGGUAGCGAAAUUCCUUGUCGGGUAAGUUCCGACCCGCACGAAAGGCGUAAUGAUUUGGAUACUGUCUCGGAGAGGGGCUCGGUGAAAUAGACUUGUCUGUGAAGAUGCGGACUACCUGCACCUGGACAGAAAGACCCUAUGAAGCUUUACUGUAACUUGAGAUUGAAAUUGGACUUUAUUUGCGCAGUAUAGGUGGGAGACCUCGAAAGUAUUCUUGCGGGAAUAUUGGAGUCAUCAGUGAGAUACCACUCUUAUAAUGUUAGAUUUCUAACUUUGUAUCAUUAUCUGGUCAAAGAACAGUUUCAGGCGGGCAGUUUGACUGGGGCGGUCGCCUCCCAAAUGGUAACGGAGGCGCACAAAGGUUUCCUCUGAACGUGUAGAAAUCGUAUCUAGAGUGUAAAGGCAUAAGGAAGCUUGACUGUGAGACCUACAAGUCGAGCAGGGACGAAAGUCGGUCUUAGUGAUCUGACGGUGCUGAGUGGAAAGGCCGUCACUCAACGGAUAAAGGUUACUCUAAGGAUAACAGGCUGAUCUCCCCCAAGAGUUCACAUCGACGGGGAGGUUUGGCACCUCGAUGUCGGCUCAUCGCAUCCUGGGGCGGUAGUACGUCCCAAGGGUUGGGCUGUUCGCCCAUGAAAGCGGUACGCGAGCUGGGUUCAGAACGUCGUGAGACAGUUCGGUCCAUAUCCGGCGUAGGCGUUAGAAUAUUGAGAGGAGCCUUCUUUAGUACGAGAGGACCGAGAAGGACAUACCUCUGGUGUACCAGUUAUCGUGCCAACGGUAAACGCUGGGUAGCUAUGUAUGGAGAGGAUAACCGCUGAAAGCAUCUAAGUGGGAAGCCCACCUCAAGAUAAGUAUUCUC
rnacentral:rRNA from 1 species